UACAGAGGUCUCAAGCGUUGUUCGGAUUCAUUGGGCGUAAAGGGCGCGUAGGCGGCCUUCUAAGUCGAACGUGAAAUCCCCGGGCUCAACCCGGGAACUGCGUCCGAGACUGGAAGGCUCGAAUCCGGGAGAGGGAUGUGGAAUUCCAGGUGUAGCGGUGAAACGCGUAGAUAUCUGGAGGAACAUCGGUGGCGAAGGCGGCAUCCUGGACCGGUAUUGACGCUGAGGCGCGAAAGCCAGGGGAGCAAACGGG
rnacentral:rRNA from 1 species